rnacentral:rRNA from 1 species
GGUUAAACGACUAAGCAUUACACGGUGGAUGCCGGCAGUCAGAGGCGAUGAAAGGGCGUCGCUGUCUGCGAUAGCGCCGCGACGAGUGAUAUGAACCGUUAUAACCAGCGAUGCGAAUGAAACCCAGUGUGACUCGUCACACUAUCGUUAUAGUCCAUAGGUUAAUGAGAACCGGGGAACUUCUGAAAUCUAAAUUGCCCCGAGGAAAGAAAUCAACGAAGAUUCCCCCGGUAGCGGCGAGCGAACGGGGAGGAGCCCAGAGCCUGAAUCAGCAUGUGUUAGUGGAAGCGUCUGGAAAGGCGCGCGAUACAGGAGUGACAGCCCGUACACAAAAGCGCAUGUGCUGUGAGCUCGAUGAGUAGGGCGGGACACGUGGUAUCACUGUCUGAAUAUGGGGACCAUCACUCCAAGGCUAAAUACCUGACGACCGAUAGUGGCGAACCGGUACCGUGAGGAAAGGCGAAAAGGAAGACGGCGAGGGUGAAAAAGAACCUGAAACCGUGUACGUACGGCAGUGGGAGCCCCACCACCGCAAAGCAUUCUCUGGUGUUGAAGGCCUGCAAAGCAGCAUCGCGGUGGCGGGCGUCGUUUGCGGCCUUAACACACACAAACAAGCGGUGAGAGUGCUUUGAAGUUGGGGUGACUGCGUACCUUUGUAUAAUGGGUCAGCGACAUAUUCUGUAGCAGGUUAACCGUAUAGGGGAGCCGGAGAGCCGGGGUCUUAACCGGGCGUUAAGUUGCAGGGUAUAGACCCGAAACCCAGUGAUCUAGCCAUGGGCGGAGUUGAAGGUUGGGUAACACAACUGGAGGACCGAACCGACUAAUGUUGAAAAAAUUGGCGGAUGACACUGUGUGGCUGGGGGUGAAAGGCCAAUCAAACCGGGAGAUAGCUGGUUCUCCCAGCUAUUUAGGUAGCGCCUCGUGAAUUCAUCUCCGGGGUGAAGCACUGUUUCGGCUGGGGGCCAUCCCGGCCUGUGAUGCAAACUGCGAAUACCGGAGAAUGUUGUCACGGGAGACACACGGCAGGUGCCCCAACGUCCGUCGUGAGGAAACAACCCAGACCGCCAGCUAAGGUCCCCAAAGUCAUGGUUAGAUAUGGGAAACGUGUGGGAAGGCCCGGAACAGCGGGAUGUUGGCAAACGACCAUCAUUUAAAAGCGUAAUAGCUCACUGGUCGGAGUCGGCCUGCGCGGAAGGUGGCAGGGCUUCAACCAUGCACCAGCUGCAACAGCGACGCUAUGCGUUGUUGGGUAGGGAGCGUUCUGUAAGCCUGUGAAGGUGGCCUGUGAGGUUGCUGGAGGUAUCCAGAAAUUAGAAUACUGACAUAAGUAACAUAAAGCGGGUGAAACCCGCUCGCCGGAAAACCAGGGUUCCUGUCAACGUUAAUCGGGGCAGGGUGGAGUCGACGAGGCCGAGGCGUAGUCGAUGAGGAAACAGGUUAAUAUUCCCGUACUUGGUGUUACUGAGGGGAGACGAGAGAAGGCUAUGUUGGCCGGGCGACGGUUGUCCCGGUUUAAGCGUGUAGGUGUGUGUUCGAGGCCAAAUCCGGUUCACUUUAACACUGAGGCGUGAUGACGAGGCACUACGGUGCUGAAGCAGCAAAUGCCUACUUCGGGGAAAAGCCUCUAAGCAUCAGAGUAACAUCAAAUCGUACCCCAAACCGACACAGGUGGUGGUAGAAAUACCAAGGCGCUUGAGAGAGAACUCGGGUGAGGAACUAGGCAAAAUGGUGCCGGCAACUUCGGGAGAAAGGCACGCUGACAUGUAGGUAGUGAUUUACUCAUGGAGCUGAGAUCAGUCGAAGAUACCAGCUGGCUGCAACUGUUUAUUAAAACACAGCGCACUGUGCAAACACGAAAGUGGACGUAUACGGUGUGACGCCUGCCCGGUGCCGGAAGGUUAGUGAUAGGGUCGCGCAAGCAGCUCCUGAUCAGCGAAGCGGUAAACGGCGGCCGUAAGCUAUAUAACGGUCUAAGGUAGCGAAAUUCCUUGUCCCGGGUAAGUUCCGACCUGCACGAAUGGCGUAAUGAUGGCGGCUGUCUUACCCGAGACUCAGUGAAGUGAACUUCCUUUGUGAAGAUGCAGUGUGCCGCGGCAAGACGGAAAAGGCCCCGUGAACCUUUUAUAGCUUGACACUGAACAUUGAGCCUUGAUAUUGUAGAGUUAGGUGGGAGGCUUUGAAGUGUGGACACUCCAGUCUGCAUGGAGCCGACAUACCACCACCCUUUUAAUGUUUGAUGUUCUAACGUGGACCCGUGAUCCGGGUUGCGGACGGUGUCUGGUGGGUAGUUUGACUUCAGGGCGGAUGCUCCUCCUAAGGUAACGGAGGAGCACGAGGUUGGCUAAUCUGGUCGGACAUCAGGAGGUUAGUGCAAUGGCAUAAGCCAGCUUGACUGCGAAGCGUGACGGCGGCGCGAGCGAGUGCAGCAGGUCGUAGUGAUCCGGUGGUUCUGAAUGGAAGAACCCAUCGCUCAACGGAUAAAAAGGUACUCCAGGGGAUAACAGGCUGAUACCGCCAGAGUUCAUAUCGACGGCGGUGUUUGGCACCUCGAUGAUAAACUCAUCACAUCCGCAGCGGGAGACUGAAGUAGGUCCCAAAGGGUAUGGCUGUUCGCCGUUUAUUUAAGUGGUACGCGAGCUGGGUUUAGAACGUGAGACAGUUCGAUUACUAUCUGCGCUGGAGAACUGAGGGGGCUGCUCUAGUACGGAAGGACCGGAGUGGACGCAUCACUGGUGUUCGGGUUGUCAUGCCAAUGGCACUGCCCGGUAGCUAAAUACGGAAGAAUAAGUGCUGAAAGCAUCUAAGCGCAGCUUUUGCCCGAAGAUGAGUUCUCCUGAAAGACUUUGGGUCUCCUGAAGGAACGUUGAACGACGACGUUGAUAGGCCGAGGUCGGCAAGCGCAGCGAUGCGUUGAGCCAACCGGUACUAAUGAACCGUGACUUAACCUU